CAGUGUUUUCUACCCUGAAAAGGGUCAGAACUCCACCCUUGCAUACUACAGUUUGUUGCUUUGGCGGGCCGCGAGGCCUAGCCGCGCCCCGGCUUCGGCGGGGGAGUGCCCGCCAGAGGACCCCAAACCCUGAAUGUUAGUGUCGUCUGAGUACUAUAUAAUAGUUA
rnacentral:misc_RNA from 1 species